rnacentral:lncRNA from 1 species
CUUUAAAAAAAAUAUAAAAUGUAAUACAAUACAAUAAAAUAAAAAUUUAUACUAGUAAUAAAAUAAAAAAAAUUGGGGGCGUUUUUCUUUUUUCUUUUUCAUGCGUGCAAUGAAGCGUCGAUCAGAAAACUUAAAAUGCCGAAAAAAAAAUUUCACAUUAAAAACUGAAAAAUUUAUUUUUUGAGCCCCUUCCAACCCUGCACCCC